GCCCCGAUAGCUCAGUUGGAAGAGCGACAGUUUCGUAAACUGUAGGUCGAGAGUUCGACUCUCUCUCGGGGCU
rnacentral:tRNA from 1 species